rnacentral:rRNA from 1 species
AACGAACGCUGGCGGCAUGCCUAACACAUGCAAUUCGAACGAGACCUUCUGGUCUAGUGGCGCACGGGUGCGUAACGCGUGGGAACCUGCCCUUAGGUUCGGAAUAACUCCCCGAAAGGGGUGCUAAUACCGGAUAAUUUCUUCGGACCAAAGAUUUAUCGCCUUUGGAUGGGCCCGCGUUGGAUUAGCUAGUUGGUAGGGUAAAAGCCUACCAAGGCGACGAUCCAUAGCUGGUCUGAGAGGAUGAUCAGCCACACUGGGACUGAGACACGGCCCAGACUCCUACGGGAGGCAGCAGUGGGGAAUAUUGGACAAUGGGCGAAAGCCUGAUCAAGCAAUGCCGCGUGAGUGAUGAAGGCCUUAGGGUUGUAAAGCUCUUUUACCCGGGAUGAUAAUGACAGUACCGGGAGAAUAAGCUCCGGCUAACUCCGUG